AGGGGCAUCCCUUGGAUAUCAAAGAUUAUAUCGCUGGAAGAUGGCUCGCGUCUGAUUAGCUAGAUGGUGGGGUAACGGCCCACCAUGGCGACGAUCAGUAGCCGGACUGAGAGGUUGACCGGCCACAUUGGGACUGAGAUACGGCCCAGACUCCUACGGGAGGCAGCAGUGGGGAAUAUUGGGCAAUGGACGCAAGUCUGACCCAGCAACGCCGCGUGAAGGAAGAAGGCUUUCGGGUUGUAAACUUCUUUUGUCAGGGAACAGUAGAAGAGGGUACCUGACGAAUAAGCCACGGCUAACUAC
rnacentral:rRNA from 1 species